rnacentral:rRNA from 1 species
GAGAAACACUUCCGCCGUAAGCCUAAGGGUUCCUGGGCAACGCUAAUCGUCCCAGGGUCAGUCGGGAGCUAAGGCGAGGCCGCGAGGCGUAGUCGAUGCACAACGGGUAGACAUUCCCGUACCACUGAUAGCGCGUUAAUACCGAUGGGGUGACGGAGUAGGGUAGCUGAGCGCGGUUCUGGACGUCCGCGUGAAAGGCUGUAGGGCGUGAGAUAGGUAAAUCCGUCUCACACGAUGCCUGAGAGCUGAUGACGAAGCGAUUGAGUGAAGUCAGUGAUCCCAUGCUUUCAAGAAAAACCUCUAGGGAGUUCUAUCAGUGCCCGUACCCCAAACCGACACAGGUAGGCAGGUAGAGAAUACCAAGGCGAUCGAGAGAACUAUGGUUAAGGAACUCGGCAUAAUGGCUCCGUAACUUCGGGAGAAGGAGCGCCCUGGCUGGUCAUCAAACAAGCGUUGAGAGCCAGCUGGGGCCGCAGUGAAACGGCCCAAGCGACUGUUUACUAAAAACACAGGACUCUGCUAAGUCGUAAGACGACGUAUAGGGUCUGACGCCUGCCCGGUGCUGGAAGGUUACGAGGAGGGGUUAGCCUUCGGGCGAAGCUCUGAAUCUAAGCCCCAGUAAACGGCGGCCGUAACUAUAACGGUCCUAAGGUAGCGAAAUUCCUUGUCGGGUAAGUUCCGACCUGCACGAAUGGCGUAACGACUUGGGCGCUGUCUCAACCAUAGACUCGGCGAAAUUGUAUUAUUCGUGAAGAUGCGAAUUACCCGCGGUAGGACGGAAAGACCCCGUGAACCUUUACUACAGCUUGACAUUGAUCAUUGGUUUGUCGUGUAGAGGAUAGGUGGGAGGCUGUGAAGCUGGGGCGCAAGCCUUGGUGGAGCCAACCUUGGAAUACCACCCUCGUCAGAUUGAUGAUCUAACCCGGCGCCUUGAAUCAGGGUCGGGGACCGUGUCUGGUGGGUAGUUUGACUGGGGCGGUCGCCUCCUAAAAUGUAACGGAGGCGUGCGUAAGGUCCGCUCAGAACGUUUGGCAAUCGUUCGUAGAGUACUAGAGCAUAAGCGGGCUUGACUGCGAGACCUACAAGUCGAGCAGAUACGAAAGUAGGCUCUAGUGAUCCGGCGGCUCAGAGUGGAAUGGCCGUCGCUCAACGGAUAAAAGGUACUCCGGGGAUAACAGGCUGAUCCUCCCCAAGAGUCCACAUCGACGGGAGGGUUUGGCACCUCGAUGUCGGCUCAUCGCAUCCUGGGGCUGAAGUAGGUCCCAAGGGUAUGGCUGUUCGCCAUUUAAAGCGGUACGCGAGCUGGGUUUAGAACGUCGUGAGACAGUUCGGUCCCUAUCCACCGUGGGCGUAAGAGACUUGAGAGAAGCUGUCCCUAGUACGAGAGGACCGGGAUGGACGAACCUCUGGUGUACCAGUUGUCGACCAACGGCACCGCUGGUUAGCUACGUUCGGUUUGGAUAACCGCUGAAAGCAUCUAAGCGGGAAGCCAAUCUCAAGAGGAGGUCUCUCACUGGGUCAACCAGGUAAGGCCCCUCGUAGACUACGAGGUUGAUAGGCUGCAGGUGUACGCACAGCAAUGUGUUCAGCCGAGCAGUACUAAUAGGCCGAGGUCUUGAUCUC